UAUUCGUGCAAUCAAAUAAAUGAUUUGCUAUCGGCAUCAUGGGAUUUAAAAGUAUUAAAUGAGUGUAAAAUCUCAAGUGAUGUUUUAGAUGAGCAACAAGGUAUUCAUUUUGAUAUAAGGUAAAUUAUAGCCAAUUUAAAAUCUACUUCUAAUUCCAAACACCUUGUUACGGUUAACGGUAAUUUGCUAAAUGUAUUCGGGCUCUUUUUGUCGUCUCAGUUUUAAUUAAUUCAACGUGUGCCAGAUGUGUCUCAAGGUAAACUCGCAAAGGUCGUCUUAUUUGAGGGGGUUCCGCGUUAAUUACGGCUGUUAGUAAUUCUUUUUUAUUAUUAUCAUUUCAUUCAAUUCAACAUACCUGGGCUGUGAAACAGAAGGAAGACCUCCAUACGACCUGGAAGAGACACGUUGACCUUCAGUGAAGCCCUGAUGCGCGCUGUGAUGCACCUGCCAACUGCAUUAUCAAGCAACAUACAUUUUCUUUUUAUCAAAAUAAUACAUGCAAACUAAAAUAAAAUAAGAUUAUACAUCCCCGCAUAUAUAAAAAAAAUAACACAAAUUGUUUAAAUGUAAAAUAUGUAUGUUUAGCAUUCAUAAUUUUCCUUUUAUAGAUAGUAGAUUUUUUUCCCCUUUUUUGUUUAAUAUUGCAAUUUUAUCUCUUUAAAAAACAAAUGCAUGUGAUGGUAUUUCUUUUGUAUCUCAAAAUAGGCCUACUAUGAAUAUGACAGAAAAAUACAAUGAACCAAAGCAGAUAAAAGAUUAAGCAAAAAGCACAUAAAGGAAGCAAUGAAACGAAAUUCUCUUCAAUAAAUCUUCAGUAAAUCACUUUGAGAAAAGAAUGGAUAUAGGAAAAAGAAAAAAAGGUUCAUGUCCAUUAAACACGAGUUGUUUGAAACCGAAUAUAUAACACAGAACAAACACAGCAAACCAUGCUCUAUAUUUAUUUAAUCAUUUUCGAUUUACAUUUACAUCAUUUAAAUUUAAUUUUCUUUAUUUGGCAUCAUUUUCUAUAUUUAGCCUUUAAUUUGUGUUUUUCAAUUUCUGAAAACACGCCAUAGCAUAUUUUCUAGUAAGCCAAUAAAAGUAAUCGAUACUUAAAAAUAUUUGAUACUAAUAUUCGUUGGUGCAUUAAAAAUGAAACCACCGUCAGAAACACAAAUGCGCCUCAGAUAUUUCUGAACCUCACCAUUAAAACAACAUUUAAAAAAUUGUUAAAACCUCACAGUAUUUACAGGUCACAAUACUUCUAAAUAUAUAAAUAAAUAAAAUGAAUGACUGACAAUACUAGAUCAAUAUAUGUAAUAUAUAGUCUAAUAUACUAAUAAUAUAUUUGUGAAUUGCAAACAGUUCAUAUAUAUACAUCCGUUGAAAAUAAUAUUAAUAAUAUAAUAAUAUUAUAUUAAAUGGUCUGUAUGACAAAUCACUCCGUGUAUUAUGAGCAAUUAUUGCUCUUUUAAUUUACUGUAUUUAUAUAUUUAAUUGGUUAAAUAUAGAGUAUGACUCUACGAUGUUAAAGGUUUUUUAAGUACAAAUAUCAGCUCGGUGAUUUAUGUAAUCGAACUGCCCCAAAUCACAUCUCGGGUCAAAGAGGGAAAACCAACAAAUGUGUUACUAAUUCAGUUUAAACGAAAUUGUAUUAAACAAUGGAAUUAUUACAUAGGCUAUGCUUUUAUUAUGCUCACGAUUUCAUUAUUUAACUAAUGAAGAGCACGUGUGACAUCAUAGACUACCGGAGAAAAAUCGACACUGGACUGUGUAGAAUUAAAAUAGCUAAUAUUUAAGCAAUAACAGCAAACUCUUAAAAAGUGCCAUUUAAAUUACGUCAUUAUUACGGACAUUAUAAAAAAAAUCUAAUGUUAAACAGUCCGCAAAUUAAAUUAUUCACAUGAGAAUAGAGAAUGGAGAAUUUGUCUUGGAUUUCUUCCUUAAAAUAAAUCUGAACACUUGAAUGCACAUGAUAACAAUUAAAUAAAGCGCGGGGAAAAACACCGGAAUCAUGAGCACUGACUGAAUCAUCGGCUAUUGAUGAUGUUGUCAUAUUUUCCCAACCAUUUUUGAACGGUAAGAUCACAACUAAACGUUGGACGGAAGGAAGAAAACACUGAUGAUGUGCAGGUGCAUUUCAAACGGACUAAAGAAGUGCUUCUAUCGAUAAAAAUGCAUGACUUAUAAAUAUUAUAAAUGACGCACUAACAGGUGGGCUAAACAUUGCGUUAUUGAUUUGACCAACACUGCAAACGCUCAAAAAGAGAAGACAGAAAAUGCGUUUUAUUGUCAUUUACCAGGGUUACAACAACCAGCUAACUAAUCUUUAUUAAAACCGACAAUAUAUUUAAAUUACAAAACUAUUUACAUUCAAAUGUAAAAUGUGUUAUUGAAUGCAUUAUUUCUUGUAUCAUUUUGGUCUAAAAGAAAAAAGCAUGGAAGAAAAAAAGUAGUUGAAAGUAGUUGAAUAAGUACGUUUUUUUUUUCUUUUAUACACACACGCGCACACAAUAGUCUGAGCAAUAUGACCCAUGUGACCUUUACACCUAAAGGCCAAAAAUAAAAAUCCUUGCAGCUGUAGUAAUAAUUUAUGAUUAAUUGUUUUUCAUAUAUUUAUGAUUCAUUAUUUUAUUUUAUUUUUUUAUUUAUUUAUUUUUUGCAAAAAAUAAAUAUAAAUGUUGGUGUACAGUUCAUCAAAACAGGCCAAAGCUGAACACAUUUUAUUGUCGGAUAUCAGACGGUCCAUAUUAGCCUAGUUGAAUGCAACAAAAUUAAGACAUCAUAAAACUGAGGCUGAAUCCAUUUCAAAAAUUGUUUGCCAUCACAGCCGACUUUUUUAAGUUUAGAAAUCAGCUAUAUUAAAAAUAUAAAUAUAAGCUUUACUAAAACUAAAACAAAUGCACUAGGAAAUUUCACUAUAGAGCAUGCUACUUCACCCAGGUUUAUUUUUAAGAUCUAGAUGUAUGAUUUAAGAUGAAACGUAUCAAACAAAAGACAACGUUUUUUAAAAUGUCCUUCUUUUUUUUAAGUAGAUAAUGUCUGCAUCGUUCUUCCCUGAAUCACUUAAUGUAUUUCAUGCAGUGCAUAUUGAAUUUAGGCUCUGCUGCCUGUUCCUUGGCUUGGCUUUAAUUUCUGACUGCCUGUCUUUAAUUUAGCAGGGCUACUCGGAGCUGAAAAAACAGUCAUGAAGCUCAGAUUCAGCUAAGCAACGGCCGGGGCCAGGAAUGCUGACCUUGGCGGGUGAACGGGGCCAACGACUGAGACAACAGCGUGUGACCUACCAGCCCCACAGCACGGACCCAUUGCACUGGGAUGAAGGAAGAGAGCACUCACGGCACCGAAGCACCCACCUGGACCUUUCUUUUAAAUAACAUUCACUUGGAUUGGAAAAAACAGAACUAGAAACAAAAUAAGGCUGCAAUAAUUCAACAUGUCAACACUCAGGCCGUCCUCAGUCUAUCUGUGCUGUCCUGAUCUGAACCCUGAGCUGGCUGCCCACCACGCGAGGAAAGCCAUCCACAAAUCACCUUAUGGAGCAGUACAUACGCUCCGGGCCGCUGCCAACAUGCCGCACAGCACCACGGGACCUCAACCCAAACACAGGAAACCGAGAAGACCCGAACUUUAUGCUCCAUACCGUUCCUUUGAGCCGUAUCCAACAGCCGUGUCUAUUUUCUUCUGGAGAAUUCAGCAUAAAGCCUCCUACCCUACACAUUCCAGAAACAUGAAGUCUGAAGCUGAAAAUAUUUUUCAUCAAAACAACC